UACGUAGGGUGCAAGCGUUGUCCGGAAUUAUUGGGCGUAAAGAGCUCGUAGGCGGUUCGUCGCGUCGGCUGUGAAAUCCCGAGGCUCAACCUCGGGUCUGCAGUCGAUACGGGCGGACUGGAGUUCGGCAGGGGAGACUGGAAUUCCGUGGUGUAGCGGUGAAAUGCGCAGAUAUCAGGAGGAACACCGGUGGCGAAGGCGGGUCUCGUGGGCCGAUACUGACGCUGAGGAGCGAAAGCGUGGGGAGCGAACAGG
rnacentral:rRNA from 1 species